rnacentral:lncRNA from 12 species
UCCACAGAAGAGUCUGUGGCUGAGCACGAGCAGCAGAGCCCUGGAGCCUCGGCAGGGGUGGGAGUGGGGACAGGGCUGGGACAGGGCAGGGACAGGGCAGGGACAGGGCAGGGACAGGGCAGGGACAGGGCAGGGACAGGGCAGGGACAGGGCAGGGACAGGGCAGGGACAGGGCAGGGACAGGGCAGGGACAGGGCAGGGGACAGGGCUGGGACAGGGCAGGGACAGGGCUGGCGUCACCCCCUCCUGGAGGGGGCACUGGCCAAGGCCUGUGCCCGCGGGGGGUGUUUGUGCUGUGGGCAGGGGCACAAGGCAGGAGGAGUUCCAGGGCACGGUCUGACUGCAGCAGCUCCUGUGGUGCGGGUCCACAGGCAAGGGAUCCUUUUAUCCUACAGAACAUUAAACUAUUUGAAUCCAGUUUGUAAUUAGGAAAGUGCAGGGAGCUCUCACUCAGCUCUGCUCCAGAGACACCUGCAGAAAGCAGUUCCCUCUCACAGAAUUCCAGAAUGGUUUGGGUUGGGAGAGAUGUCACAAACACCUUUGCUGACACAGACAGAGCUGAUUUGGAAGCCAGGAUGGUUUGGGCUGGGGGGGACCUUAAAUCCCAUCCCAUUCCACCCCUGCCAUGGCAGGGACACCUCCCACUGUCCCAGGUGCUCCAAGCACAAUGUUCAGCCUGGCCUUGGGCACUGCCAGGGAUCCAGGGGCAGCCACAGCUGCUCUGGGCACCCUGUGCCAGGGCCUCACCAGCCUUACAAAGAAAAAUUCCUUCCCCAUAUCCCAUCUAGCCUGUCCUCUGGCAGUGGGAGCCAUGCCCUGUGUCCUGUCCCUUGUCCCCAGUCCCUCUGCAGCUCUCCUGGAGCCCUUCGGGCCCUGGCAGGGCUCUGAGCUCUCUCUGAAUCCUUCCCUUCUGCAGGUGAGCAUUCCCAGCUCUCCCAGCCUGGCUCCAGAGCAGCUCCAUGGCCACACCUGGUCUCACUCCAGCAGGUGCUGUCCCUCCGGCCAGGUUGCCAUUCCUGGUGUGGGGCUGGCCACCCUCGCCCUGCCAGCCCGGCCGUGCCAGCCAGCGUGGCCAUGUGUGUCAGGCUGUGAGCAAUCCCGCUCCCGGGCUUUCCAGAAAUACCCUGCUCUGCUGCUCACUGACCUUUGGUCCUUUAUUCAAUUGGCAUUCUUCUGGAAAGCCCAGAAAUGCAGAGGACUCCCGGGCACUGUGGCAGGGAGGAGGCUGGGGCUGCUGCCCGUGGCAAAGAGCACAGGGCUGUGCUGGGAGGGGCUCCAGGAGCAGGGCAGGGGGCUGUGGGCACAGGGCAGGGGGCUGUGGGCACAGGGCAGGGGGCUCCAGGAGCAGGGCAGGGGGCUGUGGGCACAGGGCAGGGGGCUCCAGGAGCAGGGCAGAGGACUGGGGGUGCCAGGACGGGGCUCGGAGUGUCGGAUCUGGGCUCUGAGUGCCCUGUCUGGACUCUGAACGCACCGCCCCCGGUUUCUCCUUCCCCGGCUGCUCCCGGAGCCCACCCCUCCACGGUGACGAUGCUCAGGCUGACCGGGGAGAGGGGCAGCCGGGGUGCCGGGCACACUGCAGCUCCUCACCCUCCUCCCGCAGCAGCUGAGCAGGAGCUUGUGUCCAAAACACGUUUUCCCGAACCCCUGCACUCCCCGCUGCAGCUCUCGGCUCUGGCUCCCCCUGCAUCUCUCCGCGCAGCUCGGCACGGCCCGGCGCCGGUUCCCUCUCCCCAGGGAUCCCGGUACCGGCUUCAUC